GAGUUUGAUUAUGGCUCAGAUUGAACGCUGGCGGCAGGCUUAACACAUGCAAGUCGAACGGAAGUUACUAGCUUGCUAGUAACUUUAGUGGCGAACGGGUGAGUAACAUUUAGGAAUCUGCCUCAUAACGGGGGAUAGCUCGGGGAAACUCGAAUUAAUACCGCAUACACCCUACGGGGGAAAGGUGGCGCAAGCUGCCGAUAUGAGAUGAGCCUAAAUCAGAUUAGCUAGAUGGUGGGGUAAAGGCCUACCAUGGCGACGAUCUGUAACUGGUCUGAGAGGAUGAUCAGUCACACCGGAACUGAGACACGGUCCGGACUCCUACGGGAGGCAGCAGUGGGGAAUAUUGGACAAUGGGCGAAAGCCUGAUCCAGCCAUGCCGCGUGUGUGAAGAAGGCCAUAAGGUUGUAAAGCACUUUAAGCAGGGAGGAAGAACUUUUAGUUAAUAGCUAAAAGUGG
rnacentral:rRNA from 1 species